ensembl:lncRNA
GGACACAUCUAAAACCUGCAGGGACACUGGCCCUUGUGGACUGGGAUUGGGGACCCCUGAUUUAUAACUUGUAUAGUUCAUAUUUCUGUAUAGUUUCAUAUUUAUAUCCUGUUCAUAGCCUGCACAUAGCUUGUACACUCACUACAGCCUGUACAUACUUAUAGCAUAUUCAUGACAUACCUUUGUACCGUUUACAUUGUAACAUACCCAUAAUAGACCCAUAUUUUUUUAACCCUCAUACCUAUAAUAGUCCCAUUUUUAUAAUAUAUCUAUAUAUCUAUUUUAUUGCUAAUAUAUAUUUUGUAAUAUAUCUAUAUUAUUGCUAAGCCUUGCCUUGUACUUGUGACAUGUGCAAUGACAAUUAAGUUGAAUUAUGUUCUAUUCUGUUUUACAAAAAAAAAGAAAAAAAAAGAGAGAGAGUAAAAAACAUGAAGAUCGUGAGUUGUUUUUUGUGACAAAUUAGUUGUUGCAUUUUCAUGGGUGAAAGUCUGACAUCAAACAUUGAAAAUAUCUAUGCACAUCCUCAACACCAUGUGGGGCAGGUCCAGAACCGACAAAUAAAUAAAUAAAUCAACAACAAAAGACUGUAUAAAAAGAUGGAUUUCCUUUGGGAUUAAGAAAGUAUUUCUGAUUCUGACAGUCAUCACUAACUAGUUUGAAAUGUGAAAUAUUUGAACUGCAGGGUGGUUUGCUGUGUGCAGCUGUGACUUUAACACCGGGGUCUUUGUGAGCUGAUUCACAUUUUGGGGCCAGCCUCAAGUGCAGUUUUCGGUACUUCAUAAUAGCUUAAUUUGUGUUUGCUGCUUGGGGACAGUAGUGCUUACAUAGCCAUUAUCCUUAACAGACUUAUGAAUGACCCAUACAUUGCACAACAGGUUAAAAACCAGGUUUUUCACUACCAGGAGUUUCUUUCUGCAAACUUCCUUGAACAGUUUAGGAGUGUGAAUAGUUUACACUCUGCUUGUUACACACACUGUGAUACUUUUACUGAUGCAAGGACAGGAGGAGACCAGUUUCAGUAUUCUCCUCUCAUCUUUUCUCCAGCUCCUCUGACUUUGUUCCACUUUUGCCUGUUGGCCACAAGAGACCUUGUGGCUGAAAUGAAGGGAUUCCUUUCCAAGCUAGGUUUAAUGUUAUCAAUCCUG